rnacentral:rRNA from 1 species
UACGAAGGGGGCUAGCGUUGCUCGGAUUUACUGGGCGUAAAGGGCUCGUAGGCGGCCAACUAAGUCAGACGUGAAAUCCCUCAGCUUAACUGGGGAACUGCGUCUGAUACUGGAUGGCUUGGAUUCGGGAGAGGAAUGCGGAAUUCCAGGUGUAGCGGUGAAAUGCGUAGAUAUCUGGAGGAACACCGGUGGCGAAGGCGGCAUUCUGGACCGAUAUUGACGCUGAGGAGCGAAAGCCAGGGGAGCAAACGGG